rnacentral:rRNA from 1 species
UCGCUCUUCAACGAGGAAUCCCUAGUAAGCACAAGUCACUAGCUUGUGCUGAUUACGUCCCUGCCCUUUGUACACACCGCCCGUCGCUACUACCGAUUGAAUGGCUUAGUGAGGCCCUCGGAUCGUCUUUAAGGAACUGUAAAAGGUUCUUUUCUGAUGAGAAGUUGGUCAAACUUGGUCAUUUAGAGGAAGUAAAAGUCGUAACAAGGUUUCCGUAGGUGAACCUGCGGAAGGAUCAUUACUGAUUUAUGCGAACCUCGCGUCAGCGAGGAUUUCGCGUUCGUAUUUAAAACACCCACUCUUAAAAUUUAUAAUCAUGUAAAUAAAUAAAAUAAAAGAACACUUUCAACAACGGAUCUCUUGGUUCUCGCAUCGAUGAAGAACGUAGCGAGGUGCGAUAAGUAGUGUGAAUUGCAGAAUUCCGUGAAUCAUCGAAUUUUUGAACGCAAAUUGCACUCUCCGGUUUUCCGGGAGAGUAUGCCUGUUUGAGGGUCAGUUUAAAUAAAAAUCGGGGUUGUUGCUGUGGUAACGCUUCGGAAUUGGGUCAUCUUUGCCUUUGGGUUUUAAGCGACCUAAAAUUUUUUACGAUCCUACGAACAUGUUUAAGAUUUUCUUAUACGUUCAUGGUAUCGAAUCCUACUAGAUGUGGCCGCCGCGUCGGUCUUCACGUCUAUAAUAAUAUCAUCAAAUGACCUCAGACAGGUAAGAGUACCCGCUGAACUUAAGUAUAUCAAUAAGCGGAGGAAAAGAAAAUAACAAUGAUUCCCUUAGUAACGGCGAGUGAAGGGGGAUAAGCUCAAAUUUUAAAUCUACCAGGUUAACCUGGUCGAGUUGUAAUUUGAAGAAGCGUUUUCCGCGUCCGGGUCGGCCCAAAUCCUUUGGGAUAAGGUAUCAUGGAGGGUGAGAAUCCCGUUCGGCUGACCUCAGGAUGCUUUACGAUACGCUCUCAAAGAGUCGAGUUGUUUGGGAUUGCAGCUCAAAAUGGGAGGUAAAUUUCUCCUAAGGCUAAAUACCGGCGAGAGACCGAUAGCGAACAAGUACCGUGAGGGAAAGAUGAAAAGAACUUUGAAAAGAGAGUUAAACAGUACGUGAAAUUGUUGAAAGGGAAACGAUUGAAGUCAGUCGUGCUGGCGCGAAAUCAGCUUGACCGGCAGGAAAGCACGGGCUGUGGCGAGCCUCAAAACCGCCACAGCUUGUUCUUUCUUACCGGCCUCGUGCACUUUCGCGUGGGCUGGUUAACAUCAAUUUCGAUCGUCAUAAAAAGGCUAGAGGGAUGUGGCUCCUCCGAGAGUGUUAUAACCUUUAGCGGAAUGUGGUGGUCGGGAUUGAGGUUUGCAACGAAUACCUUUAGGGCUGUUCCACCUGGCCUCUCAUUGGCAUCCUGGCGGCGACAGCUUGCUGACGUUGUUAGGAUUAGCCUUCGAACAGGCUAGAGUGUGAGCAAAUUCGUUAAGGAUGUUAACGUAAUGGCUUUAAACGACCCGUCUUGAAACACGGACCAAGGAGUCUAACAUAUAUGCGAGUGUUA